rnacentral:rRNA from 1 species
CCUACGGGCGGCAGCAGUGAGGAAUAUUGGUCAAUGGCCGGAAGGCUGAACCAGCCAUGCCGCGUGAAGGUCAGUGCCCUAUGGGCGUUAAACUUCUUUUGUGCGGGAGCAAUAAUGGUCACGUGUGGCCAGACGAGAGUACCGUACGAAUAAGCAUCGGCUAACUCCGUGCCAGCAGCCGCGGUAAUACGGGGGAUGCAGGCGGUAUCCGGAUUUAUUGGGGUUAAAGGGGGCGUAAGCUGGGAGGUAAGUCAGCGGUGAAAUGCCCCCGCUCAACGGGGUGAAGUGCCAUUGAUACUGCCUUGCUGGAAUGCGGAUGCCGUGGGAGGAAUGUGUGGUGUAGCGGUGAAAUGCAUAGAUAUCACACAGAACACCGAUUGCGAAGGCAUCUCACGAAUCCGCGAUUGACGCUGAUGCACGAAAGCGUGGGUAUCAAACAGGAUUAGAUACCCUUGUAGUC